UGCCGUAUUCACUUUGAUACGGUUGAACCCAUGUAAAAAAUACUCUUUUUGUGUAAAAUUUUGGGAUACUUUCUGUGUUUGAAGAGUUCUCGCUUUGCGCUGGUCGGCCAUAUUGAAAAAGAAAUUGUGAAGGUCGUAUUUCCAGCUUUUCUGUGAGACGGCAGUUCAGAUGCAGUCGUCCUGUGUGUCAGAAACCUGGUGAUCAAAAUGGUUGAAGGCAGUACCCAAGAAAGUACAUUUACAAAAUUGUGAGGAGUAACCUAGCCUAUAUUACCAGAAGCUCACCCGAUAUGCAGUGUGUUCUGCUCUGUCAAUAACAAAUGAGAUGCCAUACACAGGGGAUCCGACAGAAGACAGCAGACAGAAUUCGUCGAUCUAUUUGAAAUAUCAUUGUUUAUUUGAAAAAAGUUACCAAUCCAC